rnacentral:rRNA from 1 species
CCUACGGGAGGCAGCAGUGGGGAAUUUUGCGCAAUGCUCGUGAGCGUGACGCAGCGACGCCGCGUGAGUGACGAAUGCCUUCUGGUCGUAAAGUUCUUUCGACAGGGAAGAAAAUGCCUAUAAGUAACUGUUUCUGUCUUGACGGUACCUGUAUAAGCAGCCCCGGCUAACUCCGUGCCAGCAGCCGCGGUAAUACGGAGGGGGCGAGCGUUGUUCGGAGUGACUGGGCGUAAAGAGCACGUAGGCGGUGUUGUAAGUCAUUAGGCAAAGACUAGAGCGCAACCUUAGUAAGGCUAGUGAUACUAUAAUACUAGAGUACCAGAGAGGAGGGCAGAAUUCCUGGUGUAGCGGUGAAAUGCGUAGAUAUCAGGAGGAAUACCGUUAGCGAAGGCGGCAAGCUGGAUGGAAACUGACGCUGAGGUGCGAAAGCGUGGGUAGCAAACAGGAUUAGAUACCCCUGUAGUC